CCCCCCGGGCGGGAACAGACACGGGGCGCCGCCCAGUCAGGGCUCCCGAGCGUGGCCCGGGCCCCGCCGCCGGGCGAGAGCCCCCUCACCCAGGCGAGGUGCAGGUCCCGGAGCCGCCGGGGCAGGGAGGGACUAGACAUCACCCACUUCCACCAGGAAAACAAAUCUCUGCCGGGCUUUGCCCCACAUCCCACCCUGCCCGCGGGCCCACUACAGCCGGGCGCUCCCGAGACAUCUCUGCCCCACGCGGAUGUAGGGCACCAGCCUGCCUGUCCCUGGAGAAAGUGGAACCUCGCCCUUGGUUUGGUCGUGAGAAAUCUGGCCAUUUUUGUAAGUGGCACUGCCCCAAAUCCCAGCGGCUGCCCCGAGAGACAAUGAGCCAGCUUCCUUCCGCACGAGAGCCUGGCAGCAGACACAUAUCCCUCCAGCCCCUUCGCCUGGCUGGAUCGCGCUAGCUUUCUACACGCCCCUCUAGACCCUGCCAGCCGAGCAGAUGAGACCUGCAGCUGCUCCAGCUCACUCUAAAACUUCAGUUCCCAGCACAUCCCUACUCAAAACCACCUCAGAGAUCAUUGAUCUGCUGGUUUCAAAACGGUGCUAUCCCAAUAAACCACCAUGGGGCCCAUAGUGACUGAGCAGAAUCAGCAGUUUCAUAUUGGAAAAUGAAUCAAGCUCCAGCUCUAGGAGUCACGUGAAUAUGAGAAGUCACAUCAACAAAGGAGAAAUCUCAUGUUUCUGUACUGAAAUUAGACCCACAUGGACCUUAAUAUUAAAAACAAACCCAGAAUCACUCUCA